CCAAUAGCGUAUAUUAAAGUUGUUGCAGUUAAAAAGCUCGUAGUUGAAUUUCGGGAUUAGUAAGUUGGUCAUGCCUCUGGUAUGUACUGGCUUUACUGAUUCCUCCUUCUUGAAGAACUGUAAUGUCAUUAAUUUGGUGUUGCAGGGAAACAGGACUGUUACUUUGAAAAAAUUAGAGUGUUUAAAGCAGGCUAACGCUUGAAUACAUUAGCAUGGAAUAAUGAAAUAGGACGUUUGAUCCUAUUUUGUUGGUUUCUAGGAUUGACGUAAUGAUUAAUAGGGAGAGUUGGGGGCAUUAGUAUUCAAUUGUCAGAGGUGAAAUUCUUGGAUUUAUUGAAGACUAACUACUGCGAAAGCAUUUGCCAAGGAUGUUUUCAUUAAUCAAGAACGAAAGUUAGGGGAUCGAAGACGAUCAGAUACCGUCGUAGUCUUAACCAUAAACUAUGCCGACUAGGGAUCGGAUGAUGUUAAUUUUUUAAUGACUCAUUCGGCGCCUUACG
rnacentral:rRNA from 1 species